rnacentral:rRNA from 1 species
GACGAACGCUGGCGGCGUGCUUAACACAUGCAAGUCGAACGGAAAGGCCCUGCUUUUGUGGGGUGCUCGAGUGGCGAACGGGUGAGUAACACGUGAGUAACCUGCCCUUGACUUUGGGAUAACUUCAGGAAACUGGGGCUAAUAACGGAUAGGAGCUCCUGCUGCAUGGUGGGGGUUGGAAAGUUUCGGCGGUUGGGGAUGGACUCGCGGCUUAUCAGCUUGUUGGUGGGGUAGUGGCUUACCAAGGCUUUGACGGGUAGCCGGCCUGCGAGGGUGACCGGCCACAUUGGGACUGAGAUACGGCCCAGACUCCUACGGGAGGCAGCAGUGGGGAAUAUUGCACAAUGGGCGGAAGCCUGAUGCAGCAACGCCGCGUGCGGGAUGACGGCCUUCGGGUUGUAAACCGCUUUCGCCUGUGACGAAGCGUGAGUGACGGUAAUGGGUAAAGAAGCACCGGCUAACUACGUG